AGUUCAAAUUUUCAUCAUUUAUACUGUUAAAAACUGAUAUAGCUUACCGAAUAACCAGACAAUUGCACAUGGCAUGCCACAUGUACCUCAUGUUAAGAUACAAAGACCAGUUUUUAACCAUAGAAAUGAAUGAAACUUUUAAAUA
rfam:Gossypium arboreum cultivar AKA8401 contig_4315_5, whole genome shotgun sequence.